rnacentral:tRNA from 2 species
GGUCACGUAGUGUAGUGGUUAGCACUCGGGAUUUUGAUUACAUCAAACUUCCCGCGACCCCGGUUCGAUCCCGGGCGAGACCU